CAGACACUAACAACACCAACCCUCUCUUCUUAAACCCACUUUCACUCUCUUAUUUAGGGUUCAAAACUGCAUUCUCUCACUACCGCCGUUGAUGUGCAAUCUGCCUUGCCUGGAUGCUUGACGCAGCUUCUGUGCUGUGGAACCGUUGAGGAUCUAAUGCCACGGAGAUGCUCGAUCAUCACUUUCAAUUCUUCACCAUCUAUCAAUUGUGAUUUCUCUGAUUAAUUACAUUAUAAUAGGUAACUAUUUAUUUAUUUGUAGCCAUUUAGUUUGUUUUUACAUUAUUUCUUAAACUACAAUUCACUUGUUAUGUUGUCCUCUUUUUCUUCCCAUCCCCUUCGUUGCCAUAGUAUUUUUGUGUCCAAUGUUUGCUUAGCAGAAUAUCUUUAGUGAUUUAUGCUUUAUUGUUAACACAUAAUUAUUAAGCUUUCAUUUGUCUUUUUUUUGUUUUUUUGGAAUUUUUUGUUUUAAUUUGUAGUUUUGAAGUUGGUUUCACGUUUGAUUGAAACAUGUUCCGUUAGGGGAUGAUAUUGAUUCUAAUCUGUAUCUUAUUUUGAGUUGAGAUAGAAAUAGGUAUUGCUAUAUAUUGAUACUCUCUUGUCAUGUUAUAUUUAUUUGGUUCUUGCCUUUUUAUGUUUGGUGAUGCCAAUUUGUGGUCAUGCAUUGUGCUUAAAUUAUGUAAUUCUCAGAGUUCAUCCAUUGUGUUUGCUAUUACUGUUUGGUCCUUGCAAUGAUGUCAAUUUUAAGGUAGUGCAUUGUGGUGUUGAUACUACAACUGUGUAUUCAAUUGUGUUACAUAGACUUACAAGAUAAACACUGGCGAAAUAGUCUGAGAUGUGCUGAUUGUGGUGUUGUGAAGCAAUUUUCCUGUAAUAUGUCAACCCCUAAGAUUUAAGAGACCCUUCUCAAUUAAAAUCGAGGCCACAUAACUAGCGAGCAUAAUUUUGCAUUAUAAGCGUAAGAAAAAAAUUAAAAAAAAUAUCAUAUAGAGAAAUUUUACUAUUUUUAAGUUAGAAAUUUCUUUUCACCUCACUUCUUCAUUAACUCAUUCGAAACAUUCAAAACUUUCGCAAAAAAUUCCUAACAACUCGAAAUUUUUUGAAACAUAAGUGAAAGUUUUUGUUAACUUUCAAACUUUUGAAAUUCAAUUUUUCAACAAUAUUUUGAAUGUUUAGUUCAUUUUGAAACUUUUGAAAAACUAUUUUCUAGAUAUUUUCAAAACAUGUUAAAAGUUCAGAAAUGCAAAUUUUUUAGAAAAUGAAAAUAUCAAAACUUUUGAUAAACAUGAAACAUUCGAAACUUCUAGAUUUAUUAGUUUUGAAACUUUCAUAAAUGGAGAAAUUAUUUGCACUAGUCUGCAAUGUAACCGAAAAAGUUUUGCCUAAGGCAUCUAAUUGACGGAUGUAUAAGGCUAACCAUCCACCCUAUCCACAUUGCCGACAAGACACACUCGAGUCUAGGCGAAGUAUGAUAGUUUAUUCACCAAUUUUGAGCAUUGUCAAGACUAUGCAUAGAGUGCAUCUGCAUUGGUUGUGCUAUAUGACAAUCUCAGACAUGGAGCUUUUCAUGACACAAAGAAGUUUGGAGGAUAGAUGACCAUGUUACAGUUUUGGAUUUAUGAGCACUUUCCUAAAAUCUAUAAGCGAUGAGACAAUGGGAGUGUACCUAAACAUACUCACAGAGCUUGUAUGUGGACUAUCAAACAUGUUGUCGAAGGUGGAUUGAUAGUGUAUCGACUUAGGCUUGAUGAUGUAGUAUUCACACAAUACAAUGAUGACUGGGUCAACUAAUGACAAUGUACUCGAGCUAUCUUCGUUGAUCCAGAGUUUCAAUCUCUUAUCUAUUGGAGCGAUGUCUUUGAUAGUUUGUGAUAGUUUGACUGCAUUCAAUGUGCGAUGUUCCUUUUGUGUCAACUAGUAUAGAUUGAGAAUUACAUAAUACUUUGAGGGCAUGUAUACUUCGCCUCUAGCGAUGUUUUUUGGUGAGGUGUCAUAUAGCUAUUAUGACUCGUACUUACGUGGGUCUUUCACUACAUGUUCCAUCAUUUUCUGUACAAGUUGGUUUAUCACUUCUACACUCUAGAACAUAUGAGCUUUUAAAGAGGGUCAUACAAAUAGUAAGUUAAGUUGAGAUGGUGAAGUUCAUGAGAUAUUAUGUAACUUACUACACAUAUUAUAUGGUGGCUAUUAGUAGAUUGUUUAAUAGUUUGUA